rnacentral:rRNA from 1 species
AGAGUUUGAUCCUGGCUCAGGAUGAACGCUGGCGGCGUGCCUAAUACAUGCAAGUCGAACGCAUAUCUUCGGAUAUGAGUGGCGAACGGGUGAGUAAUACAUAAGUAACCUGGCCUUAAGAGGGGGAUAACUAUUAGAAAUGAUAGCUAAGACCGCAUAGGUAUGAAGAUCGCAUGAUCUACAUAUUAAAUAUCCCACGGGAUAGCUGAAGGAUGGACUUAUGGCGCAUUAGCUAGUUGGUAGGGUAACGGCCUACCAAGGCGACGAUGCGUAGCCGACCUGAGAGGGUGGACGGCCACACUGGGACUGAGACACGGCCCAGACUCCUACGGGAGGCAGCAGUAGGGAAUUUUCGGCAAUGGGGGAAACCCUGACCGAGCAACGCCGCGUGAGGGAGGAAGUAUUUCGGUAUGUAAACCUCUGUUAUAAAGGAAGAACGAUGCAUGUAGGGAAUGACAUGCAAGUGACGGUACUUUAUGAGGAAGCCACGGCUAACUACGUGCCAGCAGCCGCGGUAAUACGUAGGUGGCGAGCGUUAUCCGGAAUUAUUGGGCGUAAAGAGGGAGCAGGCGGCAGCUAAGGUCUGCGGUGAAAGCCCGAAGCUAAACUUCGGUAAGCCGUGGAAACCGAGCAGCUAGAGUGCAGUAGAGGAUCGUGGAAUUCCAUGUGUAGCGGUGAAAUGCGUAGAUAUAUGGAGGAACACCAGUGGCGAAGGCGACGAUCUGGGCUGCAACUGACGCUCAGUCCCGAAAGCGUGGGGAGCAAAUAGGAUUAGAUACCCUAGUAGUCCACGCCGUAAACGAUGAGUACUAAGUGUUGGGGGUCAAACCUCAGUGCUGCAGUUAACGCAAUAAGUACUCCGCCUGAGUAGUACGUUCGCAAGAAUGAAACUCAAAGGAAUUGACGGGGGCCCGCACAAGCGGUGGAGCAUGUGGUUUAAUUCGAAGCAACGCGAAGAACCUUACCAGGUCUUGACAUCGAUCUAAAGGAUCCAGAGAUGGAUAGAUAGUUAUAGAGAAGACAGGUGGUGCAUGGUUGUCGUCAGCUCGUGUCGUGAGAUGUUGGGUUAAGUCCCGCAACGAGCGCAACCCUUGUCGUUAGUUACCAGCAGUAAGAUGGGGACUCUAGCGAGACUGCCUCUGCAAGGAGGAGGAAGGCGGGGAUGACGUCAAAUCAUCAUGCCCCUUAUGACCUGGGCUACACACGUGCUACAAUGGACGGAUCAAAGGGAAGCGAAGCCGCGAGGUGAAGCGAAACUCAAAAACCCGUUCUCAGUUCGGACUGCAGUCUGCAACUCGACUGCACGAAGUUGGAAUCGCUAGUAAUCGCGAAUCAGAAUGUCGCGGUGAAUACGUUCUCGGGCCUUGUACACACCGCCCGUCACACCAUGAGAGUUGGUAACACCCGAAGCCGGUGGCCUAACCGCAAGGAAGGAGCUGUCUAAGGUGGGACUGAUGAUUGGGGUGAAGUCGUAACAAGGUAACC